AACACAUCAACAAGAAGAAGUAAACAUACACAAAGUAAAAUCCUUUCGUGCUCAUUCUCCUUAAGAAAAUAUUAAUUAAUGGGACCGUCUGUUGAGAGGAUGAUCAAUGCGCGUUGUGCUGCUCUCAACAAACAGUGUCUAUCGACAUCUAGUUUUAUUCCGAAGGGUUCUGAUCAUGGACGUUAUGGUAGAAAAAGGCGAUAUCGCAGCGAGAAUAUUUGCCUUAUUUUUGCUGGUGUUACUUUUAUAGCCAUUGUUGUGCCAACUAUGUUUAUGUUUUACGAUGCAAUUUCCAGUUUAUUUGUUUAGUUACGUAGAUUUUAUUUUUCUUAGUUCGUAGAGUUAAGAGGUUAUAUGUUAAAUUACUUUAGAUUUAUGUAAAGAUGGAUUGAUUUAUUUAAUUUGUUUAUUGAUCGAAUUUUCAGUGUUACUUUAUGUGUUUUGGAGUAAUGAGAGGUUUAGAAUGGAAUUGAAUUUGAAAUCUUGAUUUAUAAUAAAUUACGUUUGUAAA
rnacentral:lncRNA from 1 species